rnacentral:lncRNA from 1 species
CCCCGCGCAGCCCUGGCUCCCGCCCGCGCUUCCCACUCCACACCUCCCCACGAGCACUCCGCCAGCCCCAGAGAGGGGCCCCCACAGCGCAGCGGCGGGCUGAAGGGCUCCUGGAGCGCGGCCAGAGCAGACGCGGAGGCCGAGGAGGUGCCGAGAGAGAGCGAGCGAGGGCUGCUAGCAAGUUGUCACCUCUCAACAACACUUUGGGAGGCCGAGAAUCUCUCUCUGCUGCCCAGGCUGGAGUGCAGUGGGAUGAUCUCGGCUCAUUGAAACCUCCACCUCCAGGUUCAAGCGAUACUCCUGCCUCAGGCUCCCGAGUAGCUGGGACUACAAGUGUGCACCACGAUGCCCAGAUGGAGUCUUGCUCUGUCGCCCAGGCUGGAAAGCAAUGGCGCUAUCUUGGCUCACUGCAACCUCCGUCUCCUGGGUUCAAUUGAUUCCUCUGCCUCAGCCUCCCAAAUAGCUGGAAUUACAGGUGCACAUCACUACACUGGCUAAUUUUUGUAUUUUUAGGAGACACAGGGUUUUACCAUCUUGGCCAGGCUGGUCUUGAACUCCUGACUGUAUGAUCCACCCACCUAGGCCUCCCCAAGUGCUGGGAUUACAGGCGUGAGCCACCAUGCCCAGCCUUAAAAGUCUUUCUAUGACAUCGCCCUUCAUCAUCACUAAUGUAAACUCUGCAUUUCUACAGAAUUAUAUGAUUUUGG